rnacentral:rRNA from 1 species
UACGUAGGGUGCUAGCGUUGUUCGGAACCAUUGGGCGUAAAGCGCGUGUAGGCGGUUUGUUAAGUCGAAUGUGAAAUCCCCCGGCUCAACCGAGGAAGUGCAUUCGAAACUAACUAGCUAGAAGAUGGCAGAGGAAGGUGGAAUUCCAAGUGUAGAGGUGAAAUUCGUAGAUAUUUGGAGGAAUACCGGUGGCGAAGGCGGCCUUCUGGACCAUUCUUGACGCUGAGACGCGAAAGCGUGGGUAGCAAACAGG